rnacentral:rRNA from 1 species
CCCUUAGAUGUUCUGGGCCGCACGCGCGCUACACUGAUGCAUUCAACGAGCCUAUCCUUGACCGACAGGUCCGGGUAAUCUUUGAAUCUGCAUCGUGACGGGGAUAGAUUAUUGCAAUUAUUAAUCUUCAACGAGGAAUGCCUAGUAGGCGCAAGUCAUCAGCUUGAGUCGAUUACGUCCCUGCCCUUUGUACACACCGCCCGUCGCUCCUACCGAUUGGGUGUGCUGGUGAAAUGUUCGGAUCGGCCGUUUGUCGCGGUUUCCGCGUCAUGUGGCUGAGAAGUUCAUUAAACCCUCCCACCUAGAGGAAGGAGAAGUCGUAACA